rnacentral:rRNA from 1 species
CCUACGGGAGGCAGCAGUGAGGAAUUUUCGGCAAUGGGCGCAAGCCUGACCGAGCAACGCCGCGUGCAGGACGAAGGUCUUCGGAUCGUAAACUGCUUUUACCGGGGAAGAGUAAGGACGGUACCCGGUGAAUAAGCUCCGGCUAACUACGUGCCAGCAGCCGCGGUAAU